GGAGUAGGCGGCUGCGAGGGGUGUUUGCCGCUUCACUGCCUUUCUUUGAGAAAGAAUCGUCAAUGGGCGCAGGGAUCUCCCCUAGAUCGAGGAAUCAGGUUGUUUAAAGCCCCAGGGUGCCCUCAGCAAGUGGAUUCAGGAGGGCUUUGCUGAGCGAUCCCUAUUCACCCACGUCCAGGCUGGCGGGUGAAGUAAGCAGGCGCGAAAAGGCUACGGGUUACCGGGACUGUGUGCUGGACCUGCAGCUGCGGGGAGAAGGGGGGGGUGCCUGGGGACACUUGGAAGGGAAGGGGAACUGGCCACUUUGGGGGACAGGAGGAAGAGAGCGCGGAGAUGCGAGGGGGGCCCCAAGAAGAAAAUACAAGGGAGGGAAGGAAGAAAGCGAGCGCCAUCCCACCCUUCGAGAAGGUCGCCAACCCGAAGAAAGCAGACGUAGGGUUCUUGACCCCUGCGGGAAACGCCCCGGCGUGGAGUGCAGGACCCCUGCGGAGCUCGUCCUGCCACUCAAGGCCCCCGACCUGAGGAGCCAGCCGGGCGGGUGCGGGAGCAGGUGACUUUAUUCACCGCUUCCCCAAUUCGCGAGGUCCCGGGACUCGUUUUCCGCCUGGAGAUUAAGAUCAUCGCUCGCGUAAUGAACUUAAUGCUUUAGGGUAGAGCUCCGCCUCGGGAGAGGAUGUUACAGACGCAUUGGCAGGCAGAUUGGGCCAAGAUGAGACAUACCUUCCCCCACCCCGUCAUCAGCGCCUCUAAGUGCGAGUUCCCAUUCUCUCUCCCUCACCGCUCUGUCCUGAGCCAUGGGAUUCCCAACCUCGUGUCGACUCUGCACCUGGCCACCCCGAGUGUUACGGGCUGCCCGACAGUCAAGUGGCUGCGGGUUGGCACGAGGGAGUGAGACGAGGUGAAAUGCCCGACCAGGCAGGGCGCCCCACGACCCUCUUUGACGUCACUCCACCCGGCGUCCAAGCGCGUACCCAAGAGCUCUGCAUCGUCUUGUUUUUACUGCCUUCACGUGGGCCGAGGGCCUGCUGGGAUCCGAAAGGCAGAGGAAAGUUUGCAAAGGCUUUAAAGUGAUCCCGAGGACCUCCUGCCUAAGGCUUCGGGGUGCUGCCCAUGGCUCCCUCGCUGCGCCUGGUGGCCGCUGCCCACCUCCCAAGUGCCCCCGGGCCCCAAGCUCUCGCAGUCCCGCUCCUGGAGUCGCGUUGGGACUCGGAAGCUGAAUCCAUCAAGAAGCCUUUAGUCCACCACAAAGCACCCCUAGCGGAGCGGUUCCGAGGGGUGGGGGCCCGGAGUCUUCCAGGAGGUGCUCUCCACGACCUUCUGCGCAGACCUGGGGAUGCCUCGUCUCCGGGGACGAAGUCGGCAGCCCCCUUAGACCUGACUUUCACGUUGAGGUGGGGAGGAGGUAGGAGGCUAGUUAAGGUGCUGCAGCCGCUCCCCACCCCCAAGGUGCUCUGGACUCAGAGCAGAGACCUGUCCACCCUGCACCCGCCCGGCCUAGAGCCCGAGGUUAGGACGCAGGGACAGCCGCAUCCUGGCCCGGAUCCUCGCAGCUGCCGCGCUGACCGCGUAAUCUUCCGUCGGCGCAAGGAGAUCAGCCCAGACCCAGGCCACUGGCAUUGCUCCUCCCGCCCCCGCCGCAGACUCGGGAGGCGCUGCACACAGAGAUGAACCCGGAGCGCAAAGUCUGCGCGCCGCGUGGGAGACGCGGGCGGGAGGGGGCAAGCGGUUACAGUAUUUCUGCUUUUCAGAACCUUUAGACUUCACUACAAAGUUUCCCGGUAGGCGCCUCGGCCCCGGGGUCGGUGCCUCCCACCGCCGCUCCUUCCUCUCCCUCCUCCCGGCCCCAGCGAGCCGAGCGAGCCGGAGCCUUCUCCCGGGCCAAGCCGCCGCUCAUUCUCCACCCCCCGGGCGGGUCCACGGCGCCCAGAGCGCGGCCCUCCCCGCCUUAUCCCCGGGCUCCGCGGGGGUGCCUCUUCCCGGGGCGAAGCUCGCUGGCCGGGCGCACAAGAAGAAGACACCCGCUGCCUCCCGAGGAACUCCUAAUACCAUCCAUACAGCUUUAAUGCGUUUAUAAUUCGAUAAGUGAUUUCAAUUUGAAAUUGUUAGUAACUAAUUUUAUGGGUAAUUUUUCCACAUCAAAUAUUUAAGCAUCAGAUUAAGGGAGCCAGUUCCGACACAGGAUAAUAAGGGGGUUCCCCCCCACCCCCCCGUGCCCCCGCCUCCUUCAGAUUCCUACCGAGUCGUUUUUCCAAAUCCCCAAAAGAUGGCAGUCGAAGCCGACGUUCUUCUUUUCCUGCGGCUCUGCGAAGGGAGGGGGAGAAAGAGCGGAGAGGGAGGAAAGGAGAGAGGUGGGGGGAGGGAGAGGGAGAAGGAAAGAGAGACAGAGGGACAGAGAGAGAAAGGAGAGGGAGAAACUAGACGUUGCACGGACUUUUCAAAGUGGCUCUUUCACACGUUUUCUAAUACAGGCAAGAAGCAGUGGUGAAUUUCCUGGAAAUGUCCUGGCUGAAAAGAAAGCCAAAAACGUGCCUUGUGGGCUCAGAGUAAAGGAUGUGAGAAACUCAGCACUUUCAAACUAAAUCCUCAAUUCAGAGCAGAAGCGGGAGAAGGGAGACUGGGAGAGAGACAGGCUGGCUUUUUGGUAUUUCUUUGUAUUUAACAAUGUAUACAAAUACUAUUAAACUAAGCAACUUGUUUCCUCCACAGGACUCUGCAAAUUACCUAAUUGGGGGAGGGGGAAGUGGGGUGAGGAAAGGUGAUGGGUGGGGGGCGGACUGCUGUGGGCGGAGGGGAGGCUGGGGCCAGAAUCGGAUGAAUUGCAGACCAGUUGCCAAAACUUUUUUUUUCCUGCUGCUGCUGCUGCUGCUGCUGCUGCCUUUGCUGCUGCCUUUGCUUUGAAUGUGGGUAACUAGGAAACAGCAAGCCGUCUGAGAAGACGGAAUUUCCAACGUGUAAAAUGUUCUUAACGGAACCAUUGAGCGAGUGCAAUAAGGCGUGAGGGGGAACUAAUCUUCCCAUUUAAAUGUUUGUGGCAAUUUUAUCUAAAUGAAUUUUAAUGCUAAACGAGGGUAAUUCCCCAUUUGUAGCGCGUUUACUUCUCUUUCCUGUGCUUCUAAAGCAGUCGAACAUCAUGCAAUGAACAAUAACAAUAAAAAUACUGUCAAGGCA